GAUGAACGCUGGCGGCGUGCCUAAUACGUGCAAGUCGAGCGAACGGACGAGAAGCUUGCUUCUCUGAUGUUAGCGGCGGACGGGUGAGUAACACGUGGAUAACCUACCUAUAAGACUGGGAUAACUUCGGGAAACCGUAGCUAAUACCGGAUAAUAUUUUGAACCGCAUGGUUCAAAAGUGAAAGACGGUCUUGCUGUCACUUAUAGAUGGAUCCGCGCUGCAUUAGCUAGUUGGUAAGGUAACGGCUUACCAAGGCAACGAUGCAUAGCCGACCUGAGAGGGUGAUCGGCCACACUGGAACUGAGACACGGUCCAGACUCCUACGGGAGGCAGCAGUAGGGAAUCUUCCGCAAUGGGCGAAAGCCUGACGGAGCAACGCCGCGUGAGUGAUGAAGGUCUUCGGAUCGUAAAACUCUGUUAUUAGGGAAGAACAUAUGUGUAAGUAACUGUGCACAUCUUGACGGUACCUAAUCAGAAAGCCACGGCUAACUACG
rnacentral:rRNA from 1 species